UUGCCUAUCUUCGUUGCCCCCUGGAAGACUCACCAGCAUCUCAAAUUUCACGUGUCCUUGGCUCACCUUUAUUACCCUUUAAUCACAAGCGUUGGUGGCUUCUGUCCAUGAGAGGUAGCUAGCUUUCUUCCACAUCAUAGCCACUGUGUGGCCUUUUCGAGAGGAAACGAGACUCAGUUCUGCCUCAGGCGGGAGCGCUAUGAGCAGCAGGUCACAGAGGGCCAUUCAACCUGCACUUGAUGAAGCCCGGACUUUCUGCUAUUCUUUUCGGUUUGCUGAAGAUGAAUGUAGCCAUAUUCAGGGCAGGAUUGAGUGACUCUUCUUUCCAUGAAAGGUUUGCUUAAGAUGAAUGUAGCCAUAUUCAGGGCAGGAUUUAGUGACUCUUCUUCUUUUAUUCUCUUUUUUACUUAAAAAAAAAUUGAAGUGCAGUUGAUUUACAACAUUGUGCCAAUCUUCCACCAUGUUUUAUCACAGCGAUUGGAUGUAGUUCCCUGUGCUAUACAGCAGGACCUCAUUGCAUUUCCAGGUAUGGGUUGUUUUUGUGUUGUUUCGGAUGGCUAUGGCACUCCUGUUUGAAUGGAUUUUUGCAUUUUUCCAUGGGUUGCCUCAAGAAAUUAGUUUAGCAGGAUAUUGCCUUGACUAGCAUGUAACCGCUCUCAUGAUUCCUGGAAAUAGUUGAAGCCAGGGAGAGGUGUGGCCAGCCCAGCCACCUUGUUAGUUUUCUCCCCACAAAAUGCUUAGACUAGCAGGUUAAUUAAGAGGAAUGUUAACUUUUUCACUCGGUUUUCCCCUUAUAUAUAUUCCUGUUCACAGGGCUCAGGGUUAUUAACUUAGUGGAGAGACAAGUACAGAAGACAAAUUCCUAACUUUGGACUUCCAACAGUUCCAAAACUUUCUUGAUGUCGAUGGCACAGUGAAGGAUUUAAAUUGCAGAAGUCUGAGUUCCCGUCAUGGCUCAGUGGACAUGAAUCUGACUAGUAUCCAUGAGGACGCAGGUUCGAUCCCUGGCCUAGCUCAGUGGGUUAAGGAUCCAGUGUUGCUGUGAGCAGUGGUGUAGGUCACAGCUACAGCUCCGAUUUGACCCCUGGCCUGGGAACCUCCAUAUGCCAUGGGUGCAGCCUUAAAAAAAUAAAAUAAAAUAAAUUGCAGAAGUCCAGGUUUUUUGGAAGAGAGGAGGUAUUUUGAGUGGCUAAGAGACUGAGAGAUUCAUAGCACAAGUUCAUGUGAUAGAUAAUAAACUUGGAAAGACAGCAGGUGGGUGAUCGGUAGGGAGAUGGUGGGAGGAGCUGAUAUGAUUCUAGGAGAAGGAACGCCCCUUCCAGCAUCCAUCAUGGACUAGUAGCAGUAACACUACCAAACACAUCUAAGCCAAGCAUUGUUCUAAGAGCAUUAUAUAUGUUAAUUCAUUGAUCCUUCUCAACAAGCUUAUGAGCUCUCAUUUUGCAGAUGAGAAGGCAGGCACAGAAGGGCAAAUGAUGGGCCCAAAGUCACACCAUCAGUAAGUGGCACAGCCGAGUGUUUGCACAGGCAGUCUGGCCCUAGAGUCCUUGUUUAGCAAUGACCUAGCCCUGGCUGAGGAUGAUAGAGAGCUCAGCUUGGUCGGGGGGGCGGGGGAGGGGGGGCAAGAGCACGCAAGACCUGUGUCUUGCUGCCUGGGUGAAAUCUGAGCGUGCAGCAAACCCUCUGGACACGUUGGAACAGCAGCAAAGUAGUGGUAGUGCUGGGCCAGUCUAGGCAAGGAGGGAUCUAACAGUUUGAGCCUCCUGCAGCCCAGAGAAGGGCCCACAGGAACGUUUAUUGUCCCUGAGAGGAUGGUGGACAAGGCUGAGAGAAGUUGAGAUGAGGGUUGACUGUCAACAAGAGAAGCACCAAAAAGCCAAGGGUCAUAAUGGACCUGGGCACAAGGGCUGGGGGUAUGCUGGGAGAUAGAGAUCGGCAGGCAGAGGUGCCCUCAUGGGUGCCCAGUGGAGAAGCUGCCCCGAUAUCAAGUGCCAGGACACUUGCAAAAUCAUCUUGAGAGAUGCAAAGGAGAGGGUGACGUUCUGACAUUGUCUGAUUUUAUCUAUGAAAUGAUUGAAGAAUCACUCAUUUGAAUUAAAUUAGAGAUUGACUUUACUGCUCUAGAGCUUGUGAUUGAAGUCAAAUUCAAUGAUAGGAAAAGUAAAGGCUGUAUUUUUGCGCCUUUGCGCACUGGCUUGUGUGUCAUUCUACUGCAGUCAUACCCAUUCAACACAGGAAGCCCCCUUAUGAACUUUCUGUCACUUUUUUUUUCUUUUUUGUCUUUUUAGGGCCGUACCCAGGACAUAUGGAGGCUCCCAGGCUAGGGGUCGCCAGCCUAUACCAUAGCCACAGCAAUGCUAGAUCCGAGCUGUGUCUGCGACCUACACCACAGCUCACAGCAAUGCUGGAUCCUUAACCCACUGAGAGAGGCCAGGUAUCGAACCUGCAUCCUCAUGGAUACCAGUCAGAUUCAUUUCUGCUGAGCCACAACAGGAAUUCCCUUUCUGUCAUGUUUUCAAAUAGAAAGUGCCCCGUCUUGGGCCUCCUUGAUGAGAUGGACUCUGGAUCCCUCGCUUCACAUUUCUAGUGCAGGCACAACUCCUUGAAAAGCAAUUUCCACUCGAUUUCAUUUACUUUUCCAUGGGUCGGCAGCAGUUAAGGGAAAUGAAGGACAUUUCGGUGCCGGUGUUGUAUUGGUUACCGAUACCAAAUUAUUUCUGGAUUAGAAACACUGUGGUUCACAUUGUGGCAGUAAAAGUACUUUGCACCCCGUUUACAGAUGAGGCCGAUGGGUCUGUUUAUAGACUUGUAUCCCCUAGAGUGUCUUGUAAGUCUGUGAGUUGUUCCCAAGUGCUCUAUCUUACAUUUGGACCCCCGAGAGAGCUGGAAAAGCAAAUGAACAAAGGCACACACAUGCACAGAGGUACCUGGUUAAUUACGCAUCACAGAACUAGACCGGCUCCACGUCUUUUUCUGUUUCUCUCAAAGGUUUUUUUUUUUGGUUGAAUUUUUGUCAGAGACACCAAAAGAGCUUAUAUUUUCUGAAUAGAAAUAAGAGGUGAACAAAAUACCUCCAUAAGAAUUGUUUGGCUUUGAAAAGACGUUUCAAUGGUCAAAGUGGGUUUGAGAUGGGCUCCUAAGCAAAGAACAACCAGAUUUUUUUUUUAUCCCUGCUGUGAUCCUUUGAUAUUUAUUGAGACUCAUCAAUGCAAAUAGCUCUAUUUGGGGUUUAAACACAUCAUUACGUCUUAGUUUCGUUACUGGGAAAUAGGUGUAUGUGAAGUCUUUUCUGCCCAAAUGCUCUUGGUGCUGCCUGCGAGCGAGGGGAGCCUCCGCCUUGUUCUGUGACCCUAUGCUUCAGUUUCCUCCUUGUUGUUAAAAUGGAGGUAAUCUCUGCCACAGACACAUAUCGUGGAGAUGGUCGGGUAAUUUGUGAGUUAUUACCCGAAAAGAGCUUUAAGUGUCUCAGGAGAAAAGAAAGAUAACAGGCCGGCCAGGGUUCCUUUCCCUAGGGGAGGUUUCACCACCUAACUGGCCUCCCAGGAACAUCCACUUGGGGCAGGAAGUAGUGUCUCUGAACAGAGCUCCCAUUUUCCACUGCCUCCUCUCCCCUCACACAUGAAGCUGCAGGAUCCAGGAGGUGCAGGCCCCCAGCCUGUGACAUAAUCUCAGUGUUUUCGUUCCCCUGUCUGUCAGUCUGGAAAAGGUAAUUCACAGGCUUGCCAUAUGGGGUGAGUCACCGGGGUGAUCGCAGAGCCCAGUGCCGAUAAGAAGCAAAAAAAAAGGCACACUGACAUGAAGGCUAAUAUGCAAGCACAUGCAUUUUGAAUGUAGAGAUAGAGGUAUUUGUCUGUUCAACUCUUGAUUUGCAGGAAAUGAGUGUGUUGGCUGAAUGAAAGCCGUCUAUAACUCUUAAGACAACAGCUGUGAGAUACUUAAAAACAUAUGCUGCUCCACAUUUUGUCGGCUUGACACCGCCAGAUUGAAGAUUUAAAAUGAGUUUCAAAGAAUUUCCAUGGUCUUGCAUAUUGUGAAGUGUUAUCAUAAAGGACACAAUUAUUAACUGUCGGUUUUGCCAAGCCACCUCUGUGACUUGCCUGCCAUGGAAGAUCCAACCCAAAGAACCGCAUGUCCAGUGGGUGACCAGAGGUUUCCUGGAGGUGUAAGGGUGCCUUCAGUCUAUAGCAGUGGCCACUGUAGACAACCCCCCCCCCACCCCACCAAAGCUGGAUCUGAGCAUUGUAAAUUUCAUAGACCAUGGCUCGUUCUCAAUCUCUUUUUGGGGUUAUAAAGACAGUGAUAUUUUCUCCAUUCUUUUUCUUAAGAGUUGGGGUACACAUUGUCUGCAUGCGGGGGAGCUAGUCAAUACUUGAAUGUUAUGGUUACCUAGUAAAUCCUGACGUACACACAACCCUUGAUAAAGAAGAGGCACAAAUGGGUGUUUCCUUCCCCUGGCACUUCCGCAUUCCCCUCGAGUAAAGCCCCCACAUCAUCGAUGAAGAUAUUUUUAUCCCCUACGUAGGAGUAUGUCUGACACAUCAUUGGAAUAUGUCUGACACAUCAUCAGAGUUCCAAAAUAACUUGCUUUUUUGGUUAGUAUGAGAUGGAGAUUCUGUGAGAGGAGACUCUGGGAGGCCAAAGUCGCCCCUGGAAAGUCCAGGCCACUCCUGCCAGGGUGUCCUUGUUGGAGAGCUCCAGCCCUGAGCCUAAUCAGUCAAUCAUGGUGACAUUGUCCAGCAAGGAAAUGAAAUGAUAAAGGAGGAGGCAGAGGAGCAGGUUAACUGGGACUAACGCUGACAUCAAGAUGUGAACCACUGAGAAGGUGGGGAGAAGACCCUGGAGACUGAACGCCAAAAUGGGGGGGAGACAUGGGUACAGGGUAGAAGCAGCCCAAUGAAAGAAACAUGGCCAUUGGUUGGAGAGGGAGAUGGAAAUAGAAAUAGCGGACAGGAACUAAACUCAAAAGUAAAAUAGGAGUUCCCAUUGUGCCACAGGGGAAAUUAAUCUGACUAGGAACCAUGAGGUUGUGGGUUUGAUCCCUGGCCUUGCUCAGUGGGUUAAGGAUCCGGCGUUGUGGUGAGCUAUGGUGUAGGUCAUAGACAUGGCUCAGAUCUGGUGUUGCUGUGGCUGUGGCUCUGGCAUAGGCUGGCGGCUGUAGCUCCGAUUAGACCCCUAGCCUGGGAACCUCCAUAUGCCGCAGGUGCAG
rnacentral:lncRNA from 1 species